rnacentral:rRNA from 1 species
CGGCGAACGGGUGAGUAACACGUGAGCAACCUGCCCCGAAGACUGGGAUAACACCGGGAAACCGGUGCUAAUACCGGAUACCCCCACCAGGCCGCAUGACCAGGUGAGGAAAUGAAUUUCGCUUCGGGAGGGGCUCGCGGGCUAUCAGCUUGUUGGUGGGGUAACGGCCUACCAAGGCGACGACGGCUAGCUGGUCUGAGAGGACGACCAGCCACACUGGGACUGAGACACGGCCAG